GCUGGCCUCGUGGCGGCGGGUCAAAAUUUCAAAGAUGGGGAUCAUUUGUUAAAUACUACUGACAUGUACUGUUAACUUGUAGAAAUAAGGACUUUUGUAAGAUACAGUAAAACCUGGCAAUACUAAUUUAGAGACAGAUGGGCAAGAUCUCCAGCUUUCAGAUAUAUACCAGAUAUUGCAGAAAUCAUGACCAAAACCAGAGAGACUACAACACUGAAAGAUGAAGUUGGAAAGUCACAGAAACAUGCACCGAAGAUGAGAGUGCCAUGGGAAGAACACAUUGGAUUCAGUUUCCUGUAGUUUCAAUAUCAACUGACCAUCCAAGAACUUUCUUGUUUUGACACUGUGGUAGUGCCUGUGCUGGAUAAAUGAGUAUUAAUGACCUCCAUGGACUAGAUUAGUCCCAACCUGUUACAAAUACAAUCUGUCAAAAAAAAGUUUCUCGUUCCAGGUGAUGAUGUUUAGGAAGCACAGACUUCUGCUGUGCUUGGGCUGCUGCCCAGGGAAGCCUUCUCAUGAGUAAGUUACCUGUGCCCCUGGGAAAGCAGGGUGAGAAAUGACUGGUUGAAAAGAAACACUUGAGCAGCCUGAGGGCCUUGCUGAAGAAGACACUAUGAGUUGUCUUUUCCUCUUUGUUUCCUGCUGGGAGUUUUGCUGAUUCAGUAAUGAGUGCAGACCUGGCCCUUAGCACUUUCCCUCCUGCCAGAACGAUGUCAGGCAGCUGGAGCAGGAGUUCCUCACUGUCAUCUUGUAGCCCUCAUGGGCUGUGGAGACUAGAGCUGCCACCGAUCCCCAGCUCUAACUGUUUUAUGCAGCUCCAGAAAGACCUCACUCUUCUCUGGGUUGGAUAAAACUGUAUCUAAGGAGAGUCUGUGCAAUGCAUGUCCACAGAAAGUUGUCCUGAACUGCAGCCAGCAUCACCUUUCUCAUGAGUUCUCAAAGAGCACCAGCUUACUGGCUUGAAAGAGGUAGUAUUUGGUUUCUCUCAGGAAAACAUUUAUAUGUCUGUAGUCAGGAGUUCUGAAAAAUAUAUAAACCAGGAAACUUUGUCACAUUCUCGAUAGAAAGAAAUCUUUUCCCAGUGCAAUGGAAAAUCUGGGAAUUGUCGUACCAUUUCCUAGAUCAUAACAUAGAACCAUAGAAUCAUCUCCAAGCAGUUUGCUCAAUUACACAUUAAUGAAAUAAUUGCCUGAUUACUAACAAUAACUGAGUGUCAAUGUGGUGGUUCUACACAGGACUUGAGAGCAAGUAACCUUUUCUCUGAGCCCUUGUUUAGCUGUGGGGAGAUGCCACAGAAAGCCACAGGGCAGCCCAGCAAACAAAUGGCUGAGGUGCCAGCUGUUGGAUUAGAUCAGACAGAUCACCACUCUGCCAUUUUUGUAAUGAUCCCUGCGAGAAAAUGUGUGUUUUUGUAAGUUUUUCAGUCUGAAAAGAGGAAAUUACACUGGGAAAGAAAUCUUCCCCAUAAAACUCAGAGGACAGCUGAUUCAUACAUCCAGCAGUCACUGGCAUUUUAUGUGGUGCCUAAACUGUUGUUUAAACCCAUCCUUGUUAGGUUUAUAGCGACAAUUUCAGGUAGCAUCCAGUUGAUACAGCAAAAUAUUUGACCUGCUGAGUUUGUACACUCUGUGUUGGUCAUGCUUUGCAAGCCCUGUUGAGAUUUCUGGCUGUGGUUCAGGCAGCAGUCAAUGCACCAAAUUACCUACAUGACAUUGCAUAUGAGUAAUGACUGCAAAGAAUACUCUUAUUUAAUGCUUCUGAAUUUUGCUCUGUAAUGGUCAAAGAGAAUAAAGAUGUUG